UAAGGAGUAUUGGUCAAUGGGCGCAAGCCUGAACCAGCCAUGCCGCGUGCAGGAAGACGGCCCUAUGGGUUGUAAACUGCUUUUGUCAGGGAACAAACCCCCGCUCGUGAGCGGGGCUGAAGGUACCUGAAGAAUAAGCAUCGGCUAACUCCGUGCCAGCAGCCGCGGUAAUACGGAGGAUGCAAGCGCUAUCCGGAUUCAUUGGGUUUAAAGGGUGCGCAGGCGGAUUGGUAAGUCAGGGGUGAAAUCCCACAGCUCAACUGUGGAACUGCCUUUGAUACUGUCAGUCUAGAGUAUAGUUGAAGUGGGCGGAAUGUGUCAUGUAGCGGUGAAAUGCUUAGAUAUGACACAGAACACCGAUCGCGAAGGCAGCUCGCUAAGCUAUAACUGACGCUCAUGCACGAAAGCGUGGGGAUCAAACAG
rnacentral:rRNA from 1 species